AGAGUUUGAUCUUGGCUCAGGAUGAACGCCGGCGGUGUGCCUAAUACAUGCAAGUCGUACGCACUGGCCCAACUGAUUGAUGGUGCUUGCACCUGAUUGACGAUGGAUCACCAGUGAGUGGCGGACGGGUGAGUAACACGUAGGUAACCUGCCCCGGAGCGGGGGAUAACAUUUGGAAACAGAUGCUAAUACCGCAUAACAACAAAAGCCACAUGGCUUUUGUUUAAAAGAUGGCUUUGGCUAUCACUCUGGGAUGGACCUGCGGUGCAUUAGCUAGUUGGUAAGGUAACGGCUUACCAAGGCGAUGAUGCAUAGCCGAGUUGAGAGACUGAACGGCCACAAUGGAACUGAGACACGGUCCAUACUCCUACGGGAGGCAGCAGUAGGGAAUCUUCCACAAUGGGCGCAAGCCUGAUGGAGCAACACCGCGUGAGUGAAGAAGGGUUUCGGCUUGUAAAGCUCUGUUGUUGGAGAAGAACGUGCGUGAGAGUAACUGUUCACGCAGUGACGGUAUCCAACCAGAAAGUCACGGCUAACUACGUGCCAGCAGCCGCGGUAAUACGUAGGUGGCAAGCGUUAUCCGGAUUUAUUGGGCGUAAAGCGAGCGCAGGCGGUUGCUUAGGUCUGAUGUGAAAGCCUUCGGCUUAACCGAAGAAGUGCAUCGGAAACCGGGCGACUUGAGUGCAGAAGGGGACAGUGGAACUCCAUGUGUAGCGGUGGAAUGCGUAGAUAUAUGGAAGAACACCAGUGGCGAAGGCGGCUGUCUGGUCUGCAACUGACGCUGAGGCUCGAAAGCAUGGGUAGCGAACAGGAUUAGAUACCCUGGUAGUCC
rnacentral:rRNA from 1 species